rnacentral:misc_RNA from 1 species
CUUACAUUACGUGUAUCCUAAAGAUCUUGAUAUUCCGAGGCAAAACGACAACAUGAUUUGAAUUGUCCUGUAAUCAUGUGCCGCUACAGUCGAUACGUCGGUGAAGCCAAUUAAUCCAAAUUAUAGGAAGCAUCAUAUCGACGUCGAUAGUCGAUAGUUGCAAUCUUCUAGGAAUUCUCCUUUCUCGAAGUUUGACCAAAAUUUGCUACAGAUCGAAGACAAGACAUAUCCCACGGUGUCCAACGGUGUCCCACGUUGUCCCACGUUGUCCCACGGUGUCCCACGCUG